GACAGAGGUGCCGAGCGUUAGGCGGAAUCACUGGGCUUAAAGCGUGUGUAGGCGGAUCGUUAAGUACUUGUGAAAUCCCACGGCUUAACCGUGGAACUGCUGGGUAUACUGGCGAUCUUGAGCCACCUAGGGGCAACCGGAACAAAUGGUGGAGCGGUGAAAUGCGUAGAUAUCAUUUGGAACGCCAAUGGUGAAAACAGGUUGCUGGGGGUGUGCUGACGCUGAGACACGGAAAGCCAGGGGAGCGAACGGG
rnacentral:rRNA from 1 species